rnacentral:rRNA from 1 species
UACGUAGGGCGCAAGCGUUAUCCGGAAUUAUUGGGCGUAAAGAGCUCGUAGGCGGUUUGUCGCGUCUGCCGUGAAAAGUCCGGGGGCUCAACUCCGGAUCUGCGGUGGGUACGGGGCAGACUAGAGUGAUGUAGGGGGAGACUGGAAUUCCUGGUGUAGCGGUGAAAUGCGCAGAUAUCAGGAGGAACACCGAUGGCGAAGGCAGGUCUCUGGGCAUUAACUGACGCUGAGGAGCGAAAGCAUGGGGAGCGAACAGG